rnacentral:rRNA from 1 species
AAUUUGCCCAUAACUGGGGGAUAGCCCGGAGAAAUCCGGAUUAAUACCCUAUAGUAUGUUGAAGAGGCAUCUCUUUAAUAUUAAAGAUUUAUCGGUUAUGGAUGAGCAUGCGUCUGAUUAGCUAGUUGGUAAGGUAACGGCUUACCAAGGCUACGAUCAGUAGGGGGUCUGAGAGGAUGAUCCCCCACACUGGUACUGAGAUACGGACCAGACUCCUACGGGAGGCAGCAGUAGGGAAUAUUGGGCAAUGGGCGAGAGCCUGACCCAGCCAUGCCGCGUGUAG